rnacentral:rRNA from 1 species
GCUGUUCGCCAUUUAAAGUGGUACGCGAGCUGGGUUUAGAACGUCGUGAGACAGUUCGGUCCCUAUCUGCCGUGGGCGCUGGAGAACUGAGGGGGGCUGCUCCUAGUACGAGAGGACCGGAGUGGACGCAUCACUGGUGUUCGGGUUGUCAUGCCAAUGGCACUGCCCGGUAGCUAAAUGCGGAAGAGAUAAGUGCUGAAAGCAUCUAAGCACGAAACUUGCCCCGAGAUGAGUUCUCCCUGAGACUUWRAGUCUCCUGAAGGAACGUUGAAGACGACGACGUUGAUAGGCCGGGUGUGUAAGCGCAGCGAUGCGUUGAGCUAACCGGUACUAAUGAACCGUGAGGCUUAACCUU